rnacentral:rRNA from 1 species
CCUACGGGAGGCAGCAGUGGGGAAUAUUGCACAAUGGGGGGAACCCUGAUGCAGCGACGCCGCGUGGGUGAAGGAGUAUUUCGGUAUGUAAAGCCCUAUCAGCAGGGAAGAACAAUGACGGUACCUGACUAAGAAGCACCGGCGAAAUACGUGCCAGCAGCCGCGGUAAUACGUAUGGUGCAAGCGUUAUCCGGAUUUACUGGGUGUAAAGGGAGCGCAGGCGGCGCGUUAAGCCUGGUGUGAAAGUCCGCGGCCCAACCGCGGGACUGCAGUGGGAACUGGCGCGCUGGAGUGCCGGAGGGGUAGGCGGAAUUCCUAGUGUAGCGGUGAAAUGCGUAGAUAUUAGGAGGAACACCAGUGGCGAAGGCGGCCUACUGGACGGUGACUGACGCUGAGGCUCGAAAGCGUGGGGAGCAAACAGGAUUAGAUACCCCUGUAGUC